rnacentral:rRNA from 1 species
AAUUCGAUUGGGAGGCAGCAGUAGGGAAUCUUCGGCAAUGGACGAAAGUCUGACCGAGCAACGCCGCGUGAGUGAAGAAGGUUUUCGGAUCGUAAAACUCUGUUGUUAGAGAAGAACAAGGACGUUAGUAACUGAACGUCCCCUGACGGUAUCUAACCAGAAAGCCACGGCUAACUACGUGCCAGCAGCCGCGGUAAUAAUCA